rnacentral:rRNA from 1 species
GCCUACGGGGGGCAGCAGUGGGGAAUAUUGCACAAUGGGGGAAACCCUGAUGCAGCAACGCCGCGUGAGUGAAGAAGUAUUUCGGUAUGUAAAGCUCUAUCAGCAGGGAAGAGAAUGACGGUACCUGACUAAGAAGCCCCGGCUAACUACGUGCCAGCAGCCGCGGUAAUACGUAGGGGGCAGCCGUUAUCCGGCUUUACUGGGGGUAAAGGGAGCGUAGACGGCUGUACAAGUCUGAAGUGAAAGCCCGUGGCUCAACCGCGGAACUGCUUUGGAAACUGUAAAGCUGGAGUACUGGAAGGGCA